rnacentral:tRNA from 1 species
AAAUUUAGGUUCACUAACCAAAGGGCCUUCAAAGCCCUAAACAGGGCCACAUGCCCUAACUUUUG